rnacentral:rRNA from 1 species
UUCUAACCGUAAACGAUGACAACCAGCGAUUAAUCGGCGUUAAUAUACGACCCGAUUAGCAGCUUCCGGGAAACCAAAGUUUUUCGUUUCCGGGGGAAGUAUGGUUGCAAAGCUGAAACUUAAAGGAAUUGACGGAAGGGCACCACCAGGAGUGGAGCCUGCGGCUUAAUUUGACUCAACACGGGAAAACUCACCCGGCCCGGACACUGUAAGGAUUGACAGACUGAGAGCUCUUUCUUAAUUCAGUGGGUGGUGGUGCAUGGCCGUUCUUAGUUGGUGGAGCGAUUUGUCUGGUUAAUUCCGAUAACGAACGAGACUCUGGCCUAUUAAAUAGACGAGAUAUUACUCAGUAUCUCGCGCUUCUUAGAGGGACAAGCGGCGUCUAGUCGCAUGAAAAAGAGCAAUAACAGGUCUGUGAUGCCCUUAGAUGUCCGGGGCUGCACGCGCGCUACACUGAAAGAAUCAGUGGGCGUUUUACCUGGUUCGGAAGAACCGGGUAACCCAAGUAAUUUCUUUCGUGCUUGGGAUAGGGAAUUGCAAUUAUUUCCCUUAAACGAGGAAUUCCCAGUAAACGCGGGUCAUAAGCUCGUGUUG